rnacentral:rRNA from 1 species
AACGAACGCUGGCGGCAUGCCUAACACAUGCAAGUCGAACGAAGCCUUCGAGCUUAGUGGCGCACGGGUGCGUAACGCGUGGGAAUCUGCCCUUAGGUACGGAAUAACUCAGGGAAACUUGUGCUAAUACCGUAUGAUGUCGCGAGACCAAAGAUUUAUCGCCUAGGGAUGAGCCCGCGUUGGAUUAGCUAGUUGGUGAGGUAAAGGCUCACCAAGGCGACGAUCCAUAGCUGGUCUGAGAGGAUGAUCAGCCACACUGGGACUGAGACACGGCCCAGACUCCUACGGGAGGCAGCAGUGGGGAAUAUUGGACAAUGGGCGAAAGCCUGAUCCAGCAAUGCCGCGUGAGUGAAGAAGGCCUUCGGGUUGUAAAGCUCUUUUACCCGGGAAGAUAAUGACUGUACCGGGAGAAUAAGCCCCGGCUAACUCCGUGCCAGCAGCCGCAGUAAAAC